UGAGCUAUGGUGUAACGGUAACACAGCAGAUUUUGGUUCUGUCGUUCUGAGUUCGAAUCUCGGUAGCUCAACCA
rnacentral:tRNA from 1 species